rnacentral:lncRNA from 1 species
GCCAUGAAAGUGGAGAUCCCAAGGGACCAAUACUAUAAAUCACGUUUACCGGUGUAAGUGUCUAAAUAUCCUAGGGAUUGAAUCCCCUUGCCCAUGACUAGAGAGGUUCAAGUCCCCUUACUAUAUGAUUGGGAGGUUCGAGUCCCCCAUAUCAUAUUACAUGAUCGGAUACUUAAGUCACCUUAGUGUAUUAUUAGGAGG